GAUGAACGCUGGCGGCGUGCCUAAUACAUGCAAGUCGAGCGAACAGACGAGGAUCUUGCUCCUCUGACGUUAGCGGCGGACAGGUGAGUAACACGUGGAUAACCUACCUAUAUGACUGGGAUAACUUCGGGAAACCGGAGCUAAUACCGGAUAAUAUAUUGAACCGCAUGGUUCAAUAGUGAAAGACGAUUUUGCUGUCACUUCUAGAUGGAUCCGCGGCGCAUUAGAUAGUUGGUUAGGUAACGGCUUACAACGGCAAUGAUGCGUAGCCGACCUGAGAGGGGGAUCGGCCACGCUGGAACUGAGACACGGGCCAGACUCCUACUGAAGGCAGCAGUAGGGAAUCUUCCGCAAUGGGCGAAAGCCUGACGGAGCAACGCCGCGUGAGUGAUGAGGGUCUUCGGAUCGGAAAACUCUGUGAUUAGGGAAGAACAAAUGUGUAAGUAACUAUGCACGUCUUGACGGUACCUAAUCAGAAAGCCACGGCUAACUACGUG
rnacentral:rRNA from 1 species